GCCCAGGUGCGCCGGCCCUGCCCCGCCCCUCCCCGCCCUUUCGCCUGAGAACUCCGCCUGGGACCUGGCCCCCUCGGAUCUCCCACUCGGGACCCAGGAGUCUUCCUCGGCACCGUGGGCACCGGCUCAUCCACAGGAACUGUUUUGGCCAAGGAACUUCAAAAUAGGCACGCUACAAGGCAAACACCAUGAGGCAGAACUGCUUUGCGCUGACCCUUCUUGGCACACGCAUCCUUAAAGGACGAAGGGAGACAACUUUUGUUGGUUAUGAUCGGUGUUGAGUAGAGUAGCUGCAAGUCUGGUGACCUGAAGGCAGCACAGAUCCUCCAUGAGAAGAAAAACAGAUGGGAUGGCAGCAUUUUGUGGCUGUCUUCUGGAGCAUUUACUAGAGAAUUCACGGCUCCUUAUAGUUACUGACGGGUACGCAUUUGGAUGAAUUUUCUGCCAUGACAACAGAAUCAUCUGAGAGGCUCUGCUCUGGGAAGCCAGCUCCUGAGGCCAGGCGUCAGCAAAUUGCAGCUCCCAGGCCAAAUCCAGCCUACUGCUUCUUGUUGUUGUUUUUAAAUAAAGUUUUAUUUAUAGAUUG